rnacentral:misc_RNA from 1 species
GAACGCAUCUUGCGCUCCUUGGUAUUCUGAGGAGCAUGCCUGUUCGAGCGUCAUUCAAACCUUCAAGCUCUGCUUGGUGUUGGGCGUCUGUCCUGCCUCACGGCGCGGACUCGCCUCAAAUCUAUUGGCGGCCGGCACGUUGGCUUCGAGCGCAGCAGAAACGCGAACUCGGGCCCGACGGAUCGGCUCCCAGAAGCUACCCCCAUGAAUUUGACCUCGGAUCAGGUAGGGAUACCCGCUGAACUUAAG